AUUGAACGCUAGCGGGAUGCCUUACACAUGCAAGUCGAACGGAGUGGCGAACGGGUGAGUAAUGUAUCGGAACGUGCCCAGUAGCGGGGGAUAACUACGCGAAAGCGUAGCUAAUACCGCAUACUAUUGGAGCGGCCGAUAUCGGAUUAGCUAGGUGGUGGGUGAACGGCUCACCAAGGUGACGAUCCGUAGCUGGUUUGAGUGGACGACCAGCCACACUGGGACUUAGACCCGGCCCAUGCUCCUACGGGAGGCAGCAGGUGGGAAUUUGGGACAAUGGGGGAAACCCUGAUCCAGCCAGCCCGCGUGUGAGAUGAAGGCCUUGGGGUUGUAAAGCACUUUUGGCAGGAAAGCGGUACCUGCAGAAUAAGCACCGGCUAACUACGUGCCAGCAGCCGCGGUAAUAC
rnacentral:rRNA from 1 species